rnacentral:rRNA from 1 species
AUUGAACGCUGGCGGCAGGCCUAACACAUGCAAGUCGAACGGUAGCACAGAGAGCUUGCUCUCGGGUGACGAGUGGCGGACGGGUGAGUAAUGUCUGGGAAACUGCCUGAUGGAGGGGGAUAACUACUGGAAACGGUAGCUAAUACCGCAUAACGUCGCAAGACCAAAGAGGGGGACCUUCGGGCCUCUUGCCAUCAGAUGUGCCCAGAUGGGAUUAGCUAGUAGGUGGGGUAACGGCUCACCUAGGCGACGAUCCCUAGCUGGUCUGAGAGGAUGACCAGCCACACUGGAACUGAGACACGGUCCAGACUCCUACGGGAGGCAGCAGUGGGGAAUAUUGCACAAUGGGCGCAAGCCUGAUGCAGCCAUGCCGCGUGUAUGAAGAAGGCCUUCGGGUUGUAAAGUACUUUCAGCGGGGAGGAAGGUGUUGAGGUUAAUAACCUCAGCAAUUGACGUUACCCGCAGAAGAAGCACCAGCUAACUCCGU